UGCGGCUUUGUCGAGCGCUGAUGGCGGGUA
rnacentral:sRNA from 1 species